CUACAGGCUUAACACAUGCAAGUCGAGGGGCAGCAUGGUCUUAGCUUGCUAAGGCCGAUGGCGACCGGCGCACGGGUGAGUAACACGUAUCCAACCUGCCGUCUACUCUUGGACGGCCUUCUGAAAGGAAGAUUAAUACAAGAUGGCAUCAUGAGUCCGCAUGUUCACAUGAUUAAAGGUAUUCCGGUAGACGAUGGGGAUGCGUUCCAUUAGAUAGUAGGCGGGGUAACGGCCCACCUAGUCUUCGAUGGAUAGGGGUUCUGAGAGGAAGGUCCCCCACAUUGGAACUGAGACACGGUCCAAACUCCUACGGGAGGCAGCAGUGAGGAAUAUUGGUCAAUGGGCGAGAGCCUGAACCAGCCAAGUAGCGUGAAGGAUGACUGCCCUAUGGGUUGUAAACUUCUUUUAUAAAGGAAUAAAGUCGGGUAUGCAUACCCGUUUGCAUGUACUUUAUGAAUAAGGAUCGGCUAACUCCGUGCCAGCAGCCGCGGUAAUACGGAGGAUCCGAGCGUUAUCCGGAUUUAUUGGGUUUAAAGGGAGCGUAGAUGGAUGUUUAAGUCAGUUGUGAAAGUUUGCGGCUCAACCGUAAAAUUGCAGUUGAUACUGGAUAUCUUGAGUGCAGUUGAGGCAGGCGGAAUUCGUGGUGUAGCGGUGAAAUGCUUAGAUAUCACGAAGAACUCCGAUUGCGAAGGCAGCCUGCUAAGCUGCAACUGACAUUGAGGCUCGAAAGUGUGGGUAUCAAACAGGAUUAGAUACCCUGGUAGUCCACACGGUAAACGAUGAAUACUCGCUGUUUGCGAUAUACAGCAAGCGGCCAAGCGAAAGCGUUAAGUAUUCCACCUGGGGAGUACGCCGGCAACGGUGAAACUCAAAGGAAUUGACGGGGGCCCGCACAAGCGGAGGAACAUGUGGUUUAAUUCGAUGAUACGCGAGGAACCUUACCCGGGCUUAAAUUGCAGAUGAAUUACGGUGAAAGCCGUAAGCCGCAAGGCAUCUGUGAAGGUGCUGCAUGGUUGUCGUCAGCUCGUGCCGUGAGGUGUCGGCUUAAGUGCCAUAACGAGCGCAACCCUUGUUGUCAGUUACUAACAGGUUCCGCUGAGGACUCUGACAAGACUGCCAUCGUAAGAUGUGAGGAAGGUGGGGAUGACGUCAAAUCAGCACGGCCCUUACGUCCGGGGCUACACACGUGUUACAAUGGGGGGUACAGAGGGCCGCUACCACGCGAGUGGAUGCCAAUCCCAAAAACCUCUCUCAGUUCGGACUGGAGUCUGCAACCCGACUCCACGAAGCUGGAUUCGCUAGUAAUCGCGCAUCAGCCACGGCGCGGUGAAUACGUUCCCGGGCCUUGUACACACCGCCCGUCAAGCCAUGGGAGCCGGGGGUACCUGAAGUGCGUAACCACGAGGAGCGCCCUAGGGUAAAACUGGUGACUGGGGCUAAGU
rnacentral:rRNA from 1 species